rnacentral:rRNA from 1 species
GAUGAACGCUGGCGGCGUGCCUAGUACAUGCGAGUCGAGCGAACAGACGAGGAGCUUGCUCCUCUGACGUUAGCGGCGGACGGGUGAGUAACACGUGGAUAACCUACCUAUAAGACUGGGAUAACUUCGGGAAACCGGAGCUAAUACCGGAUAAUAUAUUGAACCGCAUGGUUCAAUAGUGAAAGACGGUUUUGCUGUCACUUAUAGAUGGAUCCGCGCCGCAUUAGCUAGUUGGUAAGGUAACGGCUUACCAAGGCAACGAUGCGUAGCCGACCUGAGAGGGUGAUCGGCCACACUGGAACUGAGACACGGUCCAGACUCCUACGGGAGGCAGCAGUAGGGAAUCUGCAGCAAUGGGCGAAAGCCUGACGGAGCAACGCCGCGUGAGUGAUGAAGGUCUGCGGAUCGUAAAACUCUGUUAUUAGGGAAGAACAAAUGUGUAAGUAACUAUGCACGUCUUGACGGUACCUAAUCAGAAAGCCACGGCUAACUACGUG